rnacentral:rRNA from 1 species
CCUACGGGAGGCAGCAGUGGGGAAUAUUGCGCAAUGGGCGAAAGCCUGACGCAGCGACGCCGCGUGAGGGAUGAAGGCCUUCGGGUCGUAAACCUCUUUCAGCAGGGAAGAAGCGAAAGUGACGGUACCUGCAGAAGAAGCACCGGCUAACUACGUGCCAGCAGCCGCGGUAAUACGUAGGGUGCAAGCGUUGUCCGGAUUUAUUGGGCGUAAAGAGCUCGUAGGCGGUCUGUCGCGUCUGGUGUGAAAACUCAGGGCUUAACCCUGAGCUUGCAUCGGGUACGGGCAGACUAGAGUGCGGUAGGGGAGACUGGAAUUCCUGGUGUAGCGGUGAAAUGCGCAGAUAUCAGGAGGAACACCGGUGGCGAAGGCGGGUCUCUGGGCCGUAACUGACGCUGAGGAGCGAAAGCAUGGGGAGCGAACAGGAUUAGAUACCCUGGUAGUCCAUGCCGUAAACGUUGGGCGCUAGGUNUGGGGACCUUUCCAUGGUUUCCGUGCCGCAGCUACGCAUAGUCGCCCGCCGUCGGGAGGUACGGCCGCGACGGACGUAAACUACAAACGAAGUUAGACGGCGNGAGACGUGCCGACGGACGACGACGAGGGAGGUAGG